rnacentral:lncRNA from 1 species
CUUUUGUCACAGCACCAUCUGUUCCAGGUCUUGCAAACUCUCAUACAGAUGCACAAGUCUCUAUGACUGAGGUAGCUAAAGACAGCCAUCCAGACUUCCCUCUGCAUCACGUGGGCUGCCCCAUCAUCCAGGGGGAGAGAGUCCGGAGGGGGGCUGAUGGGGGGCGGCCGGAUGACGUGCCGCUCCAUCUGAAUGCAUUUGGGAGGGGAGAGCGAGGGCGGGGGCCGGGCGAUGCCCCGCGGCGUGCUCCGCAGGCUGGGGAUGAGCGGGUGCCUCAGCUCCCGGGGAGUCCCGUUCAACCCUUUGCUGAACCUAUGGAGUCUCUCGCUGUUGUUCAAGGCGCGCUUGGGUUCCUCGUUUUCGCUCUCGGGUUCAGAUUUGAUGGGUUGGUGAUUCUCAUUGGCAAGGCUAUUCUCGGUUUUUUGGAUCUCUUGGUUGAGCUCCUUGCUGAGCUCCUUGCUCAGUUCCUUAUUGGGAAGCCGCCUUUUCCGCCUCAUCUUGAACUUCUUCUUGUCCCUGGGCUCGGCCCCCUCUGUGCUGGGACCCGCGGUGGGCGAGCUGGAUCGCGACUGGUCGCUGUCCUUGGACCGGGGAGGUGCUUCCGGCAGCUCGUCCUCCGGCUCCUGUUUGAGGCGCCGCAGGGGUUUGAGCAGGGCGGUCCGCUCAUCCGAAGCCUUCCACGAUCGCCGCCGUUUUCUCAUAGAGGGUUCCUGGGGUUUCUCAAAUUU